ACCUGGCUAGCUCAAUCAGUGGAGCAUGUGACUCUUGAUCUUGGAGUUAUGAGUUUGAGUCUCACGUUGGGUG
rnacentral:tRNA from 1 species